rnacentral:rRNA from 1 species
UUGACGGACCCGCACAGCGGUGGAUCAUGUUGUUUAAUUCGUAUGAUACGCGAAGAACCUUACCAGGUCUUGACAUCCCCCGCGAUGCUUUAGAGAUAAAGCGGAGGUAUUCGGGGAGACAGGUGGUGCAUGGUUGUCGUCAGCUCGUGUCGUGAGAUGUUGGGUUAAGUCCCGCAACGAGCGCAACCCUAUUGCUAGUUACCAUCAUUAAGUUGGGGACUCUAGCGAGACUGCCAGUGAUAAACUGGAGGAAGGUGGGGAUGAUGUCAAAUCAUCAUGCCCCUUAUGGCCUGGGCUACAAACGUGAUACAAUGGCUGGAACAAAGGGAUGCGAAGCAGUGAUGUGGAGCGAAACCCAUAAAAACAGUCUCAGUUCGGAUUGAAGUCUGCAACUCGACUUCAUGAAGUCGGAAUCGCUAGUAAUCGCGGAUCAGAACCGCCGCGGUGAAUACGUUCUCGGGUU